UACGAAGGGGGGCUAGCGUUGUUCGGAAUCGACUGGGCGUAAAGGGCGCGUAGGCGGCUUUAUAAGUCGGGGGUGAAAGCCUGUGGCUCAACCACAGAAUUGCCUUCGAUACUGUAGAGCUUGAGACCGGAAGAGGUAAGUGGAACUGCGAGUGUAGAGGUGAAAUUCGUAGAUAUUCGCAAGAACACCAGUGGCGAAGGCGGCUUACUGGUCCGGUUCUGACGCUGAGGCGCGAAAGCGUGGGGAGCAAACAGG
rnacentral:rRNA from 1 species